UACGGAGGUGGCAAGCGUUGUUCGGAAUUACUGGGCGUAAAGGGCGCGUAGGCGGCUUGGCAAGUCAGAUGUGAAAGCCCCGGGCUUAACUCGGGAAUUGCAUCUGAAACUGCCUUGCUUGAGUCCUGGAGGGGGUAGUGGAAUUCCCAGUGUAGCGGUGAAAUGCGUAGAUAUUGGGAGGAACACCAGCGGCGAAGGCGGCUACCUGGACAGUGACUGACGCUGAGGCGCGAAAGCUAGGGGAGCGAACAGG
rnacentral:rRNA from 1 species